rnacentral:rRNA from 1 species
AUUGAACGCUGGCGGCAUGCCUUACACAUGCAAGUCGAACGGUAACGGGCCUUCGGGUGCCGACGAGUGGCGAACGGGUGAGUAAUGCAUCGGAACGUACCUUUCAGUGGGGGAUAACGUAGCGAAAGUUACGCUAAUACCGCAUAUUCUGUGAGCAGGAAAGCAGGGGAUCGCAAGACCUUGCGCUGAUUGAGCGGCCGAUGUCAGAUUAGCUAGUUGGUGAGGUAAAGGCUCACCAAGGCGACGAUCUGUAGCGGGUCUGAGAGGAUGAUCCGCCACACUGGAACUGAGACACGGUCCAGACUCCUACGGGAGGCAGCAGUGGGGAAUUUUGGACAAUGGGGGCAAGCCUGAUCCAGCCAUGCCGCGUGAGUGAAGAAGGCC